rnacentral:lncRNA from 1 species
CACGGCCGAAGGAGCAGCCCCGGGCGGGGCUCAGGGCUCAGCGCCCGGCUCGCCACCCCCACCCCCGGCCGCGCCUCGGCCGAACAAAGGCGGCGGUGGCGGCGGGGCCGCUCCGUGCGGCGCGAACACGGCGAGGGGUGAGCCCACACAGAUCCGGGCUCGGCGGCGUUGGGAGGGCCCCGCGCCCCGGCCCCCGCGCUCGGCCCGGCCCCACUCGGCGGCGUGUCGGGAGGAAGCGCCGGCCGCGCGGCCGCCGGCCCCUCGGCUCGACCGCCCCCCGUCUCCUCCCCUUCGCAGCCGAUCCUCCGCCCCCUCCUCCUCCCGCUGGCGGCGGCGGCGGCUUUCUCGGCCCCGGCUCCCCGCUCUUCCUUACGGCUUCGCCUCGCUCCUCAGCGGGAGGCUCCGAGCCGCGCCGGCGAAGACGGCAGUGCUGCAAGGAGUUCUGGGAGUUCCGGGGAGAAGAGACCAGCCUCCCUCUGGAGACCUUUACUACAGGUGAAGACCUUCAAACAAGUCAAGCAGACAUAGCAGGAGCUCAGAAGUUUUACAUCAAGCCUCCACUGAAGCUUUGCAGUCC